GGCGAAGCGAGCGCGGUAGGUUUGAGCAUCAGAUUGUGAAUCUGAAGGACGUGGGUUCGAAUCCCAUUCUUCGC
rnacentral:tRNA from 1 species